UACGUAGGGUGCAAGCGUUACUCGGAAUUACUGGGCGUAAAGCGUGCGCAGGCGGUUUUGUAAGCCCGGUGUGAAAUCCCCGGGCUCAACCUGGGAAUGGCAUUUGGGACUGCAAGGCUGGAGUACGGCAGAGGAGACUGGAAUUCCUGGUGUAGCAGUGAAAUGCGUAGAUAUCAGGAGGAAUACCGAUGGCGAAGGCAGGUCUCUGGGCUGAUACUGACGCUCAUGCACGAAAGCGUGGGGAGCAAACAGG
rnacentral:rRNA from 1 species